rfam:Canis lupus familiaris chromosome X, whole genome shotgun sequence.
AGGAGGAACAACCUCAGUGGUGUGGCCAGCUCUGGAUCCCUGGAUUCAGCUCCCGUAGUAACUAUGGAGCUCUCAGUCUGCAGCGGCCUGGAUGCUCCGGGGGCGG